UCGAUGCUGAAAGAGAUCCCUUUUGUUAUGUUACAUCUAAAUAUCUAAAUAUGUCGGUACGCUUACGUAAGAAGAAAUUUCGUUUUUUUAUUGCGACACCAGAAAGGAACACCAUGUCAAUGUGUAGUCAGGAAAGGAGAGAUCUUAUUCAUCACUGCCGUGCAUGUGUGGUAUCUAUCCUUUAAGAAUGUAGUCUCACUUUCCUUCAGGGUGACGAUGAAAAAAC
rnacentral:lncRNA from 1 species